rnacentral:rRNA from 1 species
UACGGAGGGUGCGAGCGUUAAUCGGAAUUACUGGGCGUAAAGCGCGCGUAGGCGGCGUGAUAAGCCGGUUGUGAAAGCCCCGGGCUCAACCUGGGAACGGCAUCCGGAACUGUCAGGCUAGAGUGCAGGAGAGGAAGGUAGAAUUCCCGGUGUAGCGGUGAAAUGCGUAGAGAUCGGGAGGAAUACCAGUGGCGAAGGCGGCCUUCUGGACUGACACUGACGCUGAGGUGCGAAAGCGUGGGUAGCAAACAGGAUUAGAUACCCUGGUAGUCCACGCCGUAAACGAUGUCGACUAGCCGUUGGGGUCCUUGAGACCUUUGUGGCGCAGUUAACGCGAUAAGUCGACCGCCUGGGGAGUACGGCCGCAAGGUUAAAACUCAAAUGAAUUGACGGGGGCCCGCACAAGCGGUGGAGCAUGUGGUUUAAUUCGAUGCAACGCGAAGAACCUUACCUACCCUUGACAUCCUCGGAAGCCGACAGAGAUGUUGGUGUGCCUUCGGGAGCCGAGUGACAGGUGCUGCAUGGCCGUAGUCAGCUCGUGUUGUGAAAUGUUGGGUUAAGUCCCGUAACGAGCGCAACCCUUGUCCCUAUUUGCCAGCGAUUCGGUCGGGAACUCUAGGGAGACUGCCGGUGACAAACCGGAGGAAGGUGGGGACGACGUCAGG